GGGAUAUCGAUCUCACCUGAGACAGUCUUCUCUUCAACUGGACUUCCUCCAGUGCCGCGUACAGGUCUUGACUACUUCUCCGUCUACUGAGGAAAAAGAUUAUCGUCAGACGUUCCAUCGAUGCUGGAUCUGGAAAUUCUCCUCCCACGAGACGUAUUUCGGUACCAGACCAUUCACGUACCUCAGAAGUUCUCGUGAAGCUUGGAUCCGACAUGUAGGGAUAAGGCUCUUGACUGAGGUCUCUUAAGAGCAGUGGCGACGCCGGAGGAUCCUGCAGGCUAUUGUAAACCUGCAAGUAAUCGCAGUCGACGGUGAAGUGCGAACGAUGCUUAAGUCGGGGAUGGACUAUUUCGGGUAACGAAAAUGCGCACGUGCAAUGUACCUCCACGCGAGCUUACUCUACAAACUCGACGUUUUCAAUUGGAAUUUAUCGGGGAUGGAGAAACGUGCUUGCAUGCGAAGAGAUCGAGAGUGGCAGUAACGAUUUAAAGUUUGGAAGUGAAGAAAAAUCGUCCAAUUUUUCGAGGACACGUCCCUAGUCAAUGGACAGCACCAAGACGCUGGCGCGUCUCUCGAUGGUUGAUAAAAUGGGUUUGAAAAAAAAAUGAGUGUUCAUCGAACCUCUUGAGCAGUACGGUGAGCUUCGAGGUUGAGUUCUGGACUGUAGAGAUCGGAGCCGCGUCUCGUUGCGUCCGAAUGGAAAGUUGCAACUUCAUCAGGCGGAUCAUCCUGUUCCGUGGUGGUUUUCGGUUCUAUUAAGGACCUCGUGGAUCUCGUUAUUGUCGGGAAGGAGAAGCGAGGCACUUGCUGCUGCGCCGAGGAGCGUACGGAGCUGCGAGAGAUUGAAAAAAUGGUUUUUACUGUU